UACGUAGGGUCCGAGCGUUGUCCGGAAUUAUUGGGCGUAAAGAGCUCGUAGGCGGUUUGUCGCGUCUGCUGUGAAAUCCCGAGGCUCAACCUCGGGUCUGCAGUGGGUACGGGCAGACUGGAGUGCGGUAGGGGAGAAUGGAAUUCCUGGUGUAGCGGUGGAAUGCGCAGAUAUCGGGAAGAACACCCGUGGCGAAGGCGGCUCUCUGGGACGGUACUGACGCUGAGACGCGAAAGCGUGGGGAGCGAACAGG
rnacentral:rRNA from 1 species